GAUGAACGCUGGCGGCGUGCCUAAUACAUGCAAGUCGAGCGAACAAAUGCGGAUCUUGCUCCUCUUUCGUUAGCAGCGGGCGGGUGAGUAACACGUGGAUUACCUACCUCUAAGACUUGAAUCUCUUCGAGAAACCGUAGCUAAUACCGGAUACUAUAUUCAACCGCAUGGUUCAAUAGUGAAAGACGGGUUUUCUGUCGCUUAUAGGUGUAUCCGCGCCGCAUUAGCUAGUUGGGAAGGUAACGGCUUAGCAAGGCAACGAUGCGUAGCCGAACGCAGAGAGUGGUAGCCCACCCUGGAACGGGAACGGCGACCCGAGUCCUAAGAGAGGCACCAGACGGCAACGUGCCGCAAUGGGCGAAAGUCUGACGGAGCAAGGCCGAGUGAGUGAUGACGGUCUUCGGAUAGUAAAAACCUGUUAUUAGGGAAGAACAAAUGUGUAAGUAAAUAAGCACGUAGUGACGGUACCUGAUCAGAAAGCACCGGCUAACUACGUG
rnacentral:rRNA from 1 species